GGCCUAUGUUCAGCAGUGGACGUCCGCCGGCUGAGAUGAUGAUGAUGAAAUAUUUUUUGUUUGUCAAUACACUAAAGGCUCCGAAACUACACUCUAUCCCCGAGUAACAUAGGCUUAAAAUUACAGUAAUUUAUCCAGGUGCGGUAAGUAGGUUAAUUACUACUCUGUAGUCUGUAAUACCCUCGCCCGGGCAAGCCCAGUAGGCAUGGGCAUCAUCCCGCUGCAGUUGUUGCCCGGGCAGUCCGCCGACUCGUUCGCACUGGACGGCUCCGAGCAGUACAGUGUUCACGUGCCGGAGAACAUCGCCCCGGGGGACCUGUUGACUGUGCAGGUCAGAUCAUACUAAUAUAUAUAUAAAACUAGCUAUUUAUAGCGUCCUGAGGUAACUAUUUCCAGCAUCUGGAUAAAAUAUCUAUACUAAUAUAACGAAGAGUAAUUUUUCUUAGUAUAUUUAUGCACUAAAAGCUCCUAAACUACACUCUAUCCAUAGACGAGCAAUUACAGUAAUUUUAUCCGGGAGCGGUAAGUAGGUAUACCCCGAGUAACAUAGACAAGUAAUUAGCAAAAUUUAUCCGGGUGCGGUAAGUAGGUUACAUCGCUCUAAUCUCACUACUAACUAGUCUGUAGUCUAUAAUACCCUUGCCCGGGCAAGCCCAGUAGGCAUGGGCAUCAUCCCGCUGCAGUUGUUGCCCGGGCAGUCCGCCGACUCGUUCGCACUGGACGGCUCCGAGCAGUACAGUGUUCACGUGCCGGAGAACAUCGCCCCGGGGGACCUGUUGACUGUGCAGGUCAG
rnacentral:lncRNA from 1 species